rnacentral:rRNA from 1 species
AGAACGAACGCUGGCGGCAUGCCUAAUACAUGCAAGUCGAACGAACACUUCGGUGUUAGUGGCGCACGGGUGCGUGACGCGUGGGAAUCUGCCCUUGGGUUCGGAAUAACAGUUGGAAACGACUGCUAAUACCGGAUGAUAUCGAAAGAUCAAAGUAUUUAUCGCCCAGGGAUGACGCCCGCGUAGGAUUAGCUAGUUGGUGAGGUAAGGCUC